CAUUAUCACCGACCUUAGCAUAAAUCCGUGGCAUUAUUAAUGCUAAAUGCUUAUUACACAAACGGUAUCUAGGCAUAUCACGCGUUUUCAAAACAGCCAAUGAGUUUAAAGCGUUGGUUUUGUAUCACGUGAAUCCUAUCAACCAAUCAGAAAUAGCGCGGGCGAAAUGAAAAAAGAAAAAACGGGAUUGGAAAUGGAUAGUAAAUAAAAAUUCAGAAUAUUGCAAACAAGGACAGUUAAAUCUUCUAGAAAUGCAGCUGUGCCCUCUUUACAGCAAUUGUAGAUGAAGAAAAGUAUGGUAGCAAGUUAUAUAGAUAUACACACAUGCCGAAGAAGAUUGUAAUAUCUGGAGAUAACAUUUCCUACGUCACGAAAUAGACACCGUCACACUGGUCUACGUAGCAUUCC